GUUUGAUACCCCGAAACUACGUGAGCUACUUCAAGACAGCCUAUUAAUAGGGCUAACCCAUCUCUGUAGCAAAAGCGUGGGAAGAACUUUGAGUAGAGGUGACAAACCUACCGAACCUAGUUAUAGCUGGUUGUCCAAGAAAUGAAUAAAAGUUCAGCCUCUAAGCUUCUCCUUUCACCUGAACUUAACCCCUUUAGAUGUAUUAAAGAAACUAAGAAAGUUAGUCAAAGGAGGUACAGCUCCUUUGAAUCAAGACACAACUUUAACAGGCGGGUAAAGAUCAUAAUAACCAAAGCUAGACAUUCUGGUGGGCCUAAAAGCAGCCAUCCCUUAGAAAGCGUUAAAGCUCAAACAUAUUACUUAUACCUUCUUAUCCUGAUCAAUAAAUCUCACCCCCCUAACCAUACUGGACCCUCCCAUGCCCCCAUGGGUGUGAUUAUGCUAAUAUGAGUAAUAAGAGAGCCCGCCUCUCUCCCUGCACACGUGUACCUCGGAACAGACAACCCACCGACCAUUAACGACCCCAAACAAAGAGGGCAAUAAAUCAUAAACUAAAAUCAAGUAAAACAUUUAAAAAUUAACCGUUAACCCCACACAGGUGUACCCCAAGGAAAGACCUAAAGAAAGAGAAGGAACUCGGCAAACACAUAAAGUCUCGCCUGUUUACCAAAAACAUCGCCUCUUGUACCCCCC
rnacentral:rRNA from 1 species